rnacentral:rRNA from 1 species
GAAAAGCAGCAUCRUUGAAGGUGAAAAUCCUGUAAAUGAUAUGGACUACCAGUGCAUUUGUGAUACGGUUUCUAAGAGUCGAGUUGUUUGGGAAUGCAGCUCAAAGUGGGUGGUAAAUUCCAUCUAAGGCUAAAUAUAAGUGAGAGACCGAUAGCAAACAAGUACCGUGAGGGAAAGAUGAAAAGAACUUUGAAAAUAGAGUUAACAGUACGUGAAAUUGCUGAAAGGGAAACGUUUGAAGUUAGUAUUGUAUUCGUUGGAUCAGCUUCGCAAGGAGUGUAUUCUGAUGAUAAGCAAGUCAACAUCAAUCUAUGAGUGUUGGAUAAGGGUUUUGGGAAUGUAGCAAUUUAAUUGUGUUAUAGCCUGGGACUUGGAUACGAUGCUUUUGAUUGAGGAACGCGUAGUAAGCUUUGAGCGGAUUGGAAACAAUCUCCUUGCUAUGGAUGUUGGUGAAAUAACUUUAAGCGACCCGUCUUGAAACACGGACCAAGGAGUCUAACAUGCUUGCGAGUAUUAGGGUGUUGAAACCCGAAUGCGUAAUGAAAGUGAAUUUCGGAUGUGAUCCGCAAGGUGCAACAUCGACCGGUCCUGAUUAUUUAUAUGACGGUACUGAGUAAGAGCAAGUAUGUUAGGACCCGAAAGAUGGUGAACUAUGCCUGGAUAGGGUGAAGUCAGAGGAAACUCUGAUGGAAGCUCGUAGCGGUUCUGACGUGCAAAUCGAUCGUAGAAUCUGGGUA